GGGCCCGCACAAGCGGCGGAGCAUGUUGCUUAAUUCGAAGCAACGCGAAGAACCUUACCAAGGCUUGACAUGCAGGGAAAAGCCUCAGAGAUGGGGUGUCCGUAAGGGUCCUGCACAGGUGGUGCAUGGCUGUCGUCAGCUCGUGUCGUGAGAUGUUGGGUUAAGUCCCGCAACGAGCGCAACCCUCGUCCAAUGUUGCCAGCGGGUAAUGCCGGGGACUCAUUGGAGACUGCCGGGGUCAACUCGGAGGAAGGUGGGGAUGACGUCAAGUCCUCAUGCCCCUUAUGUCUUGGGCUGCAAACAUGCUACAAUGGCCAGUACAGAGGGCUGCGAGACCGUAAGGUGGAGCGAAUCUCAAAAAGCUGGUCUCAGUUCGGAUUGGGGUCUGCAACCCGACCCCAUGAAGUCGGAGUCGCUAGUAAUCGCGAAUCAGCAACGUCGCGGUGAAUACGUUCCCGGGCCUU
rnacentral:rRNA from 1 species